rnacentral:rRNA from 1 species
UACAGAGGUCUCAAGCGUUGUUCGGAUUCAUUGGGCGUAAAGGGUGCGCAGGCGGCGGGGCAAGUCGGACGUGAAAUCUCGGGGCUCAACCCCGAAACUGCGUUCGAUACUGCCUUGCUCGAGGACUGGAGAGGAGACUGGAAUUCCUGGUGUAGCAGUGAAAUGCGUAGAUAUCAGGAGGAACGCCGAUGGCGAAGGCAAGUCUCUGGACAGUUCCUGACGCUCAUGCACGAAGGCCAGGGGAGCAAACGGG